GCUGAUACAGAUACAGAAACCAGGGUACUGGCUAAUGUGCCUACAAAGACCUCUGUAGCCAAAGUAGAAGGGUCAUAGUAUAACGGCUAUAAAAUAAAUUAUGUUCGAUCAUUUGAGCUGGCAUGAAAAUAUUUCACAAGUCAAUAAUUUCCCAAAAUUGGAAGAAAGAAAAAAUCAGUUGUCUUACAAAAUACAAGGGUCAUACCACCAUUCUAUGGCAACCAAGUUGUAUUGGCU
rnacentral:lncRNA from 1 species